rnacentral:rRNA from 1 species
UACAGAGGUCUCAAGCGUUGUUCGGAUUCAUUGGGCGUAAAGGGCGCGUAGGCGGCAAGGCAAGUCGGGUGUGAAAGCUUGGGGCUUAACCCCGAAAGGGCACUCGAAACUGCCCUGCUAGAGGGCCGGAGAGGAGAUCGGAAUUCACGGUGUAGCAGUGAAAUGCGUAGAGCUCGUGAGGAAGACCGGUGGCGAGGGCGGAUCUCUGGGCCGCAACUGACGCUGAGGAGCGAAAGCAUGGGGAGCGAACAGG